GAGAAAUUAAUUAAACAAUAAUACCAACUUGUCAAGUUGACAUUGCCGCGAAGGUGUUUCUCU
rnacentral:tRNA from 1 species